GAUGAACGCUAGCUACAGGCUUAACACAUGCAAGUCGAGGGGCAGCAUUAGGUAGCAAUACUGAGAUGGCGACCGGCGCACGGGUGCGUAACGCGUAUCCAACUUUCCCGUUACUCUGGGAUAGCCUUCCGAAAGGGAGAUUAAUACCGGAUGGUGUUGAAAUUUCGCAUGUUAUUUCAACUAAAGAUUUAUCGGUAACGGAUAGGGAUGCGUGACAUUAGGUAGAUGGCGGGGUAACGGCCCACCAUGCCUACGAUGUCAAGGGGUUCUGAGAGGAAGGUCCCCCACACUGGAACUGAGACACGGUCCAGACUCCUUCGGGAGGCAGCAGUGAGGAAUAUUGGUCAAUGGUCGGAAGACUGAACCAGCCAAGUAGCGUGAAGGAUGAAGGUUCUAUGGAUUGUAAACUUCUUUUAUAUAGGAAUAAAGCCCACUACGUGUAGUGGUUUGUAUGUACUAUAUGAAUAAGCAUCGGCUAACUCCGUGCCAGCCGCCGCGGUAACAC
rnacentral:rRNA from 1 species